CAGGGGACAAGUGGACAGGGUGGAUACACCGAUGCCCAAGGACCCAGGACAGGGUGUCUGGAUACGGAACUCUGCAUGUUUGGCUUUCUCCAUCCCAGGGGCUAUCCCAGAAAUUGGGAGGGAUGAAGACCCCUUUGAGCUGUCCACUCUUGGGUCUGUACUUGAAGAAGACUCCCUUCCUGCUCACUACGGAUAUGCCUUGUGACCUCGCAAACUGCAAAAAGAAGGAGAUCCAGGGCCAAAGAGGGCCACAGACCCCAGCAUCCUCUCCACAUCUCCCUUCCCACUCAGCUGAGCAUGGAGGCCUCAGAAGGAAAGGGGCUUGGGACAGAGUUUCCUCCUCAGGUGGCUGGAAGGACAGAACAUCCUAGAGUCAGCACAUGGAUGCUUUUGGGAAGCCAUACAGACCCGUUUCUUCAUACCUGUGUCUUAUCUCCAGGACCCUCCAACAAUGUGGUCAGCAGGGUGAGUUCUGGAAGCUCCUCUCCUGUGGUGAGAGCUGGUUCCAGCAUCCAGUUCUGGGAGCCAGAGGUCAAGUGUCAGAGGUCAUGGGCUGUGUCUCCCCAGCAACCAGUGGCCCCCAACCUGCCCUCUCUCCCAGUGUCCUUCAUGGAUUGUCCUACAUGCUUUUGUGGUGCCCCUUGCUCACCUCAUAUGGUCCAGCCUGGCCACCGUCUGCCUCAGUUUCCACACUGAGACAAUGUUUGGAAUGAUCCAACCAUCUUCUCAGGCCACUGACUGGCCCUGGGGGGCCCGGGGAACAGGGGCCAGAGCUGAGGCCAGAGCUGGGGCCAGAGGGGGCAGCCAGACCCGAAGCAGCUGAAGCUGAGAUACUCCCCUCACUGCCAGCAAUGGAAUAGGACUCUAAUGGGGAGUGGGGGAAGAAAAGGGGCCAUAGCUAUUACUCCAGCUCUAGAUUCAGGGCUCUAGGGAGCUCCCAGAGGCUCUUCUUCAUAAUGCUGAGCCCUCCCCCAGGGCCCACUCUCUUGUCAUCCUCAUUUGAUUUGGCCAGGAUAGAAAAUUGCACCUGGGCAUCCUUGGGAGGGAGGACAGUAAACACCUGGGCUCCCAAAGCUUGGAACCUCCAGUUUCAUGUGGAUGCUCCCCCAUAUCCAGAGCACGCCACAGAUAUGGUUGGGCAGGCAUCUGGGCAGACAGGGGAAGCUGGGGGUGGCCAUCUGCUCUCCUACAAGCCACCCCCUUCCAAUGGGCACAGACCAUUCCCUGAGAAGGUGGGGGGGGGAGAGCUGAAAGGCCAUCUGCCACCCCCAGACCCCUCCUGCACCAAUUGCUGUAAUCACUAUAAAAAGAAAAGACUUCUGCAGCCCAUCUCCCCAAAACAUGCACAAACCCAACUGGGAGGGGGGAGGCAAGUGAGGAGAACUCAUUAGGGCUAUCUUUGCCCUGGGUCAGGAACAGAGGAUUAGAGAUUUGUCAUAAAGCCCCAGGUAGACCCUCAUCCUCAUUCCUCCUCUCUGGCCCUCUUCAGAUCCUUAGUAGAUUCUCAGCAAAAGGAUUUAAGAAAGAUUGGUUGUAGGCCCAGGGGGAUUGUGGAUGGGUUUUUCUCAGAACCCAGUUGACUACAAGAUGGAGAGAAGAGUUUGCUGCCCCUUCCCCAAUUUCCUUAACUUGAACUGAUUAAAAAUUUGGAGGCAGAAGGGAUCUUGGAGAUCUACUAAGUCACUUUCCUGGAAAACACAGGUACAAGUCUCCAACCUCUGAAUCCCUAGGACCAGGUCUGUCUGAGGCCCUGAACCAACAGCCCGCCCCCCACUCAACGCUGGGCCCUUGCGACCUCGCACUCACCACGACCCCCCCGGGCGAAGCAGCAGCCGCAUUUUGCCAGCACUUUUCGAAUCACGUGGGGACAGGCACAGCGACCCCCCUUGUGCCCCCCCCGCAUGGCGCCCGGGCCCCCCCGCACCCCCCACCCGGGCCGGCCAUGCAGGGGGAAUCACGGGGGGCGGGGCGGGGACGGCGCAGGGCGCACACCCCCCCUCCCUCCUACCCCGCUCCAGGCUGGGGGAGGAGGGGAGAGAGGGAACUGGAAAGGGGCGUCCAGGGGUAGGCGGAAGUCUGGUCUGGGGGAGGCCUGGGGGCUCCGCAGAGCGGGCGGCGCGAGGCCGGGCAGCCGAGCUGGGCGGGGAGGGUUUCCGGAACCCAGUCGGUGCGGGGCCCAGGGUCCAGAUGUCCAGCGGGGCGGGGAGGGAUGGUGGGGGAAGCUGGACCGGGAUGCGGCAGCCGCUCCAGCUCCGUCUCUGGCCUCUCGGGUUUGGGGUGGUUCUAGGCCCGGGCAGGGAGGAGGCGGGGGCCGACUCCCCGAGUCACUGGCGCUGCGCGGGUCCCGGCCGAACGGCGAGCCGAAUAACAGGCCCGGCCGCGGUGCCGCCGCGGGGAGGGGCCUCUGCGGCCCAGCUCCGCCCUCUCUCUCUGGUUUCCCCCCUUCAGCCUGUGCCGGCUCCAGCCCCAAUCCUCCUCCCCCAGGCACCACCACGUUCCCACUCCACGUCCCCACCGCCUCCGCCUCUCCUCUCCAGCCUAGGAUCCCCGCCCCGGGUUCCCCUCCCUACUGCCUCUCGAGCUCCCGACUGCGGAGCGCUGGGGUCGGGGGCGGGAUCUGCCCAGGUCGCCCCUCCGCCUCUGCAAUGGGGAAGGGUGCGGACGGAUGGGCCCGGGCCUGUGCGAAGACGUCCUGGGGGCUGGGACUGUCCCUAGCCGCGCAGGGUUAGACAAGCCCCCUACCCUUUGGGGACGCAUGAAUGGGGAGCUCUGUGGGGAACACAGCCCAGGUGCCGCCCUCUCUCGCCAGACCCUUCUUUCCUCCAGGCCCCAGGACUCCAGCUGAGGCUAAUCACCAAUUAAGGCGAAGUCCGGGAGCCCGGGCUGGCGAGGAGCCAGGGGUGGGGCGCGGGGACACUCCGCCUGUGGGGGCUCAGGGCCGGCUGAUGUGGGGUACACACAGCGCAUUAGAGGGCGAGAAGCGUGGAGGUCUUGGCAAUUAAAUGGGUCUCAUGCAGAUUAGAUGCAAGCCUUUAUGCUAAUAAGAGCAGCGUUAUUUGAAUUUGCCACUUUGCGCAGGAGGGCAAACCGUGCCCCACCCCACCUCCAGCGUCUUACCCGGCAGCGGAACCCAGGCGAGGACCUCACGUUCGCGCUCCCCUUUCUGGUCCCCUUCGAUACAGUCAGACUCUGUCUCGGUCCCUCCUGGCUCUAGGGGGCUUCCCUUCGGGGGCUGUGGGGAAAGACUGGUGGUAAGGAAACCACACUCCACGCCCAGCCUUGACCUCCCGCUUCUCCUUCUUCUCCUGUCAAAUCCACAUUGUUGUGAAAGGGUCGCCUAGGCUGGGUUGGAGGGACGGGUUCACCCAGACCAGGGCCUUGGCCCUCUUUUGGAACUCAUGGAAUCCUGCGACUGUCCUAUUCCUAUUUACUGGUAAAUUGAGUUGUAGGGUGCAGACCACCUGAAGCCCCCUAAAGAUUCCCAACCUCACCGUGGUCCCUCUUUCUUACCCACUCCUGCCCGGGGAGGGCGCAAGCGCGCAGCGUGCCCCCCAUGACCCCCAGUAUCCGGUCCGUACGGCCAGGGGCGGGGCGGUCCGGGGGCUUCAUGCUGGACCCCUACCCUGCUCCAAGUUUCAGGGCUGAGGGGGCACGGAAGCUUGGGGGCUCGAGGCCUGCUCGCGUCCGGGGAGUUGCUGCUGUCGAAUCCGCCCCCUGCCCGGCUCCGCCCCCACUCCCACCCCAGCCAAACUUCUCAAAGGGGUAGGGUUUUUGCUUUCUCUACAACCAAAGUUCAAUAACAAACAAACCUCUCUUAAUCCCGAUCCCGACGUGGAUGCGUCAGGAGCCCACUAAAUCGUGCCGUUUCCCCAGGCACUCUGAAGGCCGAGACAGGGGAGACACACAGGGAUUUCCCCGAUCGCCACCCCCUUCCCCUUCUCAGCAGGUUCCGCUCCCCACCCCACCCCCACCCUGGUCCACAGAACAGAGCGGGUGUGGCAGAGAGAGUUGCAUAUUUUACUUUAUUUGUAUUAAAUUAAAAGCUACAGUCUGGCGGCGAUUCCAGAACAGGGUAAGGAGGCUCCUUAUAGGGGGCAGAGAAGAGCGGGAGACAGACGGACAGAGAGGGAGACACAGGAGAGAAAGGACAAGGUUAAGGUAGAAGGGGGACUGUUUCUGAAGAACACACGAGGCCGGCUUCUCGGGGGCACACCUCGGCCCCAUUCCUCCUCCCCUACAGCGAAGUUCAGCAGUGGAGCAGUCUGUGGGGGCAGGGGCUCAAGAGACCCUCCUUCCCCACCUAGGUCCUUUCUCAGCUUAGUCACUGGAGCACAGCACAUACCAGAAAAAGCCAAGGGCAAUGGAGGGGGUAGGGAAAUUAG